UACGUAGGGUGCGAGCGUUGUCCGGAAUUAUUGGGCGUAAAGGGCUCGUAGGCGGCUUGUCACGUCGGGUGUGAAAGCCCGGGGCUUAACCCCGGGUCUGCAUUCGAUACGGGCAGGCUAGAGUGUGGUAGGGGAGAUCGAAUUCCUGGUGUAGCGGUGAAAUGCGCAGAUAUCAGGAGGAACACCGGUGGCGAAGGCGGAUCUCUGGGCCAUUACUGACGCUGAGGAGCGAAAGCGUGGGGAGCGAACAGG
rnacentral:rRNA from 1 species